UAUUAAAGUUGUUGCAGUUAAAAAGCUCGUAGUUGAACCUCGGGGUCUACCCAUUGGUCAGGCUUAAUUGUCUGCACUGGUGAGAUGGAUCUCUACCUUCUGAGGAACUUUCAUGCCAUUUAUUUGGUGUGAUGGGAAAUCAGGACUGUUACUUUGAAAAAAUUAGAGUGUCUAAAGCAGACUAUCGUCUGAAUACAUUAGCAUGGAAUAAUGAAAUAGGACGGACUGAUUCUAUUUCGUUGGUUUCUAGGAUCACCGUAAUGAUUAAUAGGGAUAGUUGGGGGCAUUAGUAUUCAAUUGUCAGAGGUGAAAUUCUUGGAUUUAUUGAAGACUAACUACUGCGAAAGCAUUUGCCAAGGAUGUUUUCAUUAAUCAAGAACGAAAGUUAGGGGAUCGAAGACGAUCAGAUACCGUCGUAGUCUUAACCAUAAACUAUGCCGACUAGGGAUCGGAUG
rnacentral:rRNA from 1 species